UUUGCUUUCAUCUUAUACAAUGUAGGAUUAUAUCCUUAACACAUCGAGUACAGUAAUUCGAAAUAUUUCACUUAGGCAAUAAGCAUUUGUCACUUAUAGCAAGACAUUGACCUAGGAAAAAGGGAAUGAUCGAGGCAACUAAGUCAGAGACUACCUGCUUCACUUCGUAGCAUUAAGGGGAUUAUGCAUUUAGAUUAGGGAAAUCUACUAGGAAUGCAAUGUCUUCCCGU
rnacentral:lncRNA from 1 species